rnacentral:rRNA from 1 species
GACGGGGGGGGCAAGUGUUCUUCGGAAUGACUGGGCGUCAAGGGCACGUAGGCGGUGAAUCGGGUUGAAAGUGAAAGUCGCCAAAAAGUGGCGGAAUGCUCUCGAAACCAAUUCACUUGAGUGGGACAGAGGAGAGUGGAAUUUCGUGUGUAGGGGUGAAAUCCGUAGAUCUACGAAGGAAGGCCAAAAGCGAAGGCAGCUCUCUGGGUCCAUACCGACGCUGGGGUGCGAAAGCAUGGGGAGCGAACAGG